rnacentral:tmRNA from 1 species
GGGGAUGCCAGGAUUCGACAGACGGAAUAGUUAUUUAAAAAAGCGUGUUGAGAUUGUUCUAUCUCACAAAUCUAAGAACAAACUUUAAGUGUAAAAAGCUUUAUAAGUCGUGUGGGAAAUGCACUUGCUCGCGCAUUUGCAACACCUUCAUUGGCUACUACUUUCGGCUAAACCCGUCAGUCAUCAUGCUCUUGAUUCUCAAUAGAGAGGCCAUGGUGUAAACCAUUGAGAACGAUAGCGUACUAACAAGCAUUGCCAUUUUUAAUGGCUACACACGUAGAAACUUUGAAUAGCCCGCUCUGGACGCGAGUUCAAUUCUCGCCAUCUCCACUA